UCUUCCAGCUUGAUGCCGAGCACAAGGCUGGGAGGCAGCAGAGAGCCUGGCAUGCAGGGGAGAGGAAGCUGGUGCCGUCCAAGGCCCCAGCUCCUGCAUCUGUCCCACUAGUGCGUCGACCCCCGGCAUCAUUUUAGAAAUGACUCAUCAUACCUGAAGCCUGUGGGUUCAGAAGACGCAUUUGAUCAGACCCAACCUUUGGAAGACCCACUCGGCAAUUUCCCACUUUGUGUCCUGAGACUAGGAACCCAGCGGUAGAACUCUUUGGAAAAUGAACUAAAGGAUGCCGCCCACGGGGAGCACCGCCUGAGACUGCAUGAUGCCGGCCUUCCUGCAAGGGCCUGGCAGCCUGA